CCGGCCCCGCGGGGAGCCCCGGGAGGGGAAGGGGUCGAAAGCCGCGGGGCAGCGCUGGGGCGGUCGGGGGGCGUCCGCGGGGAAACGACCCCGAACCCCGCGCCCCUAAACGUGAGAAACGGCGGGGCCGGGAGAGGGGGCUCCCAGCGCGGAGCCGUGUCUGCACCCCGGGCCGGGAUGUUGUUCAUCUUCCAGCCUCCCCUCCAGAGCUUAGAACCGAAUUCUCCUCCCCCGAUUCUGCAUUUGGGUUCCCUCGGCUUUAGAGACUGCGCCCGGGGGGCGCACACGAUCCCAUUGCUUUUUGGUGACUCCACACGCUCGAACGGCUGUGUCUGCUUAUAGAAAAACAAGAUGAGACUCAUGCCUAUUCCAGGGAUUCUGGGGGAAGA
rnacentral:lncRNA from 1 species